GCGAUAAAAAGCAAAUUUCUGACAGGUGAACUUUUUUUCUUUAAUCAAACUGGUAAUAAUGUGGCUUCUUUGAAUCUAUGACAGGAAAUGGAAACAUGGCGGAGGAGCAUGGGAACAGAGACGGCAAUGAAAAUUUCACAAAGUGUUUGUGUUUUGGGUCCUCUAACUACUCUGGAGUGGCAGGGAAUUCCAUCCUAGGAAUACAAGUUUCUUUCAUGAGGAACAAUGCUUCUAGUCAUGCUUCUCGUCUGCCUUCACCCUGAGAUCCAGCUUCUGCAACUCAAG